UCCACAAGGAAGCUUGAUUUAUUCACUUC
rnacentral:piRNA from 1 species